UACAGAGGUCUCAAGCGUUGUUCGGAUUCAUUGGGCGUAAAGGGUGCGUAGGCGGCGGGGCAAGUCGGAUGUGAAAUCUCAGGGCUCAACCCUGAAACUGUAUUCGAUACUGCUCUGCUCGAGGACUGGAGAGGAGAUUGGAAUUCACGGUGUAGCAGUGAAAUGCGUAGAUAUCGUGAGGAAGACCAGUGGCGAAGGCGGAUCUCUGGACAGUUCCUGACGCUGAGGCACGAAGGCCAGGGGAGCAAACGGG
rnacentral:rRNA from 1 species